rnacentral:rRNA from 1 species
UAAGGAAUAUUGGUCAAUGGAGGCAACUCUGAGCCAGCCAUGCCGCGUGCAGGAAGAAGGCCCUAUGGGUCGUAAACUGCUUUUUGAACAAGAGAAAACCCCGGUGCGUGUACUGGGUUGAUAGUAUUGUUAGAAUAAGCAUCGGCUAACUUCGUGCCAGCAGCCGCGGUAAGACGAAGGAUGCAAGCGUUAUCCGGAUUCAUUGGGUUUAAAGGGUGCGUAGGCGGACUGAUAAGUCAGUGGUGAAAUCUCUCGGCUUAACCGAGAAACUGCCAUUGAUACUGUUAGUCUAGAGUACAGAUGAUGUGGGCGGAAUAUGACAUGUAGUGGUGAAAUACUUAGAUAUGUCAUAGAACACCGAUUGCGAAGGCAGCUCACAAAACUGUAACUGACGCUGAGGCACGAAAGUGCGGGGAUCAAACAGGAUUAGAUACCCCUGUAGUCCCUGAGCGGGCUGGCAAGGCGCAU